AACUUUUUUACAGCUUCUUUCAGUCCAGGAAGAAAUCAGGACCAGAAAACUACAAGACAGUUAUCUUCCUUGAGGAACCAGAGACAGGUGCAUGGAGCCAGCUCUCAGCUCAGCUUCCGCAGCAGCCAGCGAGUCCCUGCUGCAGUGACUGCAGAGAUAAUAAAUUACACACCGGCAGCACUUUGAUCCUGGGAAAGCUGGCAGGCUCCAGCAUGCCAUGCUCUGCUUACAGACACGCCCCUCCCAAGCCAGUAGCUGGUAAACAGCCUUGCUUUCAGAGGUGAUGUCAGACUAUGCUUUUGCUGUUCUCUUCACAAAUGCCAGGACUGAGACAAACUCUGAGAAGCAGCCUCAGACUCCUUUAGGGCUGGAGGCCUUGAGGAAAGGCAAACAGAACAGUGCACAAGAAAGCAACAUGGAGAACUGAGCUGGGGGAGAGGAGCCCAGUCCUCCCUUCCCAAGUAGGCUGUGCUGGUCAGUGCUGAUAUCUCAGCCUGCCCAACCUGGUCAGAGAGACCUGUUUGUUACGAGGAAAUUGUAUCCUCUGUAUUUCACCCUCACCUCAACUCCUGCAGGGGCAGCUUUUCCUCUAAGGAUCUCAGCUCAACCUUAAUGCAGCUGAGGGCUGCAUGUCAAAACCCAGAUUUCCCUGCACUUGGACAACUCCCACCUGAAUCCUGAGGCUUCAGCAAACCUGGCAGCAGAUGGCCUCUGCCUAGAUCUAUGCAACAGCACAUGUAAACACCUCAUCCCAGAGAGUAAUGAUUCCCUGUUUCAAGGGGCAGUUCCAAAGCAUGAGGCUAUAAUAAAACUUGAUCUUGGGUUCA